UACGAACUGUGCAAACGUUAUUCGGAUUCACUGGGCUUAAAGGGUGCGUAGGCGGCCAUGUAAGUAAGGGUGUGAAAUCCCCCCGGCUAACCGGGGAACUGCGCCCUAAACUGUAUGGCUGGAGUGAGAUAGGGGUGUGUGGAACUUCCGGUGGAGCGGUGAAAUGUGUUGAUAUCGGAAGGAACGCCGGUGGCGAAAGCGACACACUGGGUCUCAACUGACGCUGAGGCACGAAAGC
rnacentral:rRNA from 1 species